GCCCGCGUAGCUCAGUGGAUAGAGCGUUCGCCUCCGGAGCGAAAGGCCGCUGGUUCGACUCCAGCCGCGGGUA
rnacentral:tRNA from 1 species